AUGAAGCAUUUUCAGACACGGCACUCGAUAACCGAUUAUCAAAAUGGUAAAUCCGCAGGAAACAGGUUAUCAAAAUGGUAACUAUAUAGCAAAAUGGUUAUCAAAAUGGUAACUAUAUGGGAAAGGUAAUCAAAAUGGUAACUGUAUAGGAGAAAGGUUAUCAAAAUGGUAACUAUAUAGGAAAGGGUUAUCAAAAUGGUAACUAUAUAAGAGAAAGGUUAUCAAAAUGGUAACUAUACAGGAGAAAGAUUAUCAAAAUGGUAACUCUAUAGGAAACAGGUUAUCAAAGUGGAAACACUAUAGGAAAAAGAUUAUCAAAAUGGUAACUAUAUAGGAAACAGGUUAUCAAAGUGGAAACACUAUAGGAAAAAAGUUAUCAAAAUGGUAACUAUAUAAGAGAAAGGUUAUCAAAAUGGUAACUCUAUAGGAAACAGGUUAUCAAAAUGGUAACUCUAUAGGAAACAGGUUAUCAAAAUGGAAACUAUAUAGGAGAAAGGUUAUCAAUAUGGUAACUAUAUUGCGAAAAGGUUAUCGAAAUGGUAACUAUAUAGCAAAAGGUUUAUCAAAAUGGUAACUAUAUAGGAAAAGGUUUAUUAAAAUGGUAACUGCUUAUGAAACAGGUUGUCAAAAUGGUAACUAUAUAG
rnacentral:lncRNA from 1 species